rnacentral:rRNA from 1 species
GUGCACCAGUCGCGAAAACUUUACAAUGCUGGCAACAGCGAUAAGGGAACCUCGAGUGCCAGGUUACAAAUCUGGCUGUCGAGAUGCCUAAAAAGCAUUUCAUAGCAAGGGCCGGGCAAGACCGGUGCCAGCCGCCGCGGUAACACCGGCGGCUCGAGUGGUAACCGUUAUUAUUGGGUCUAAAGGGUCUGUAGCCGGCCGGAUAAGUCUCUUGAGAAAUCUGGCAGCUUAACUGUCAGGCUUUCAGGAGAUACUGUCUGGCUCGAGGCCGGGAGAGGUGAGAGGUACUUCAGGGGUAGGGGUGAGAUCUUGUAAUCCUUGAAGGACCACCAGUGGCGAAGGCGUCUCACCAGAACGGACCUGACGGCAAGGGACGAAAGCUAGGGGCACGAACCGGAUUAGAUACCCCCGUAGUCC